rnacentral:tRNA from 2 species
GCAGUCGUUGCCGAGUGGUUAAGGAGAUGGACUAGAAAUCCAUUUGGGUAUCCCCGCACAGGUUCGAAUCCUGUCAACUGCG